rnacentral:rRNA from 1 species
UACGUAGGUGGCAAGCGUUGUCCGGAUUUACUGGGCGUAAAGAGCGCGCAGGCGGUCGUUCAAGUCGCGUGUGAAAGCCCCCCGGCUCAACUGGGGAGGGUCACGCGAUACUGAUCGACUCGAAGGCAGGAGAGGGAAGUGGAAUUCCAGGUGUAGCGGUGAAAUGCGUAGAUAUCUGGAGGAACACCGGUGGCGAAGGCGGCAUCCUGGACCGGUAUUGACGCUGAGGAGCGAAAGCGUGGGGAGCGAACAGG